AAGCAUAUACAUAUCAUAACCAAAACACAAUUUGUUUACUAGUUACAUAUUAACACUGCUUCUGUUUAUUUUUUAUAGAUUUUUUUGAAAGAUAGAGCUAUAGAGAGAAGAUAAAUAAUGGAAGAG